rnacentral:rRNA from 1 species
GACGAACGCUGGCGGCGUGCCUAAUACAUGCAAGUCGAGCGGAAUGAUGAAGAAGCUUGCUUCUUCUGAUUUUAGCGGCGGACGGGUGAGUAACACGUGGGCAACCUACCUUGUAGAUUGGGAUAACUCCGGGAAACCGGGGCUAAUACCGAAUAAUCCAUUUUGCUUCAUGGCGAGAUGUUGAAAGACGGUUUCGGCUGUCACUAUAAGAUGGGCCCGCGGCGCAUUAGCUAGUUGGUAGGGUAAUGGCCUACCAGGGCGACGAUGCGUAGCCGACCUGAGAGGGUGAUCGGCCACACUGGGACUGAGACACGGCCCAGACUCCUACGGGAGGCAGCAGUAGGGAAUCUUCCACAAUGGACGAAAGUCUGAUGGAGCAACGCCGCGUGAGUGAAGAAGGUUUUCGGAUCGUAAAACUCUGUUGUAAGGGAAGAACACGUACGAGAGUAACUGCUCGUACCUUGACGGUACCUUAUUAGAAAGCCACGGCUAACUACGUG